CGAUGCCGCCCGGGCCCGCUUCAUCACCGACAGACGAAGAGCGGAGCGCACCUGGGCCCAGAGACUCCUCACACUCCAUUAGGUCACUGACUCUCCAGCUCUCCCUCCAGCCCAGAUCUUUCUCCGGACCUUGACCACACAGGCAGCCACUGCAAACAAGUCACCGUCCAGGCGGCUGCCCACCCCGUGGCAAUGGCUCUCCAGGAUGCAGGUGGUCUCUGUGCCUCCCACUUCGUCACAGCUAACAGUUGGGCCAAUCGGAUUCUCCCUCGCAGGAAUUUGGCACGGAUCUGAGAGAGCCAGGGCUGGGAGGUAUCAGAGCUCCAGGAGGGCAGCUCCCUGGAGGGAAGACCCACAAACUGCUCUUCAGGUCCCUGGAAUUUCUCUGGUCCCAGCCCUUCCUAAAGCUUGCUUGUCCGUAUCUGUGGAUGUCAUAUGACCCUGGAGUAUCUUUCCCUUACCUCCCUUUUUUAAAUCUCGAGUUAGCAUGUAGCAUUCACCACUCUAACUGUAAGUAGCAGAAAACCCCAAUUCAGCCACCAGCUGUUAGGCCCUGUGGGCUCCCUUAGGGUGAGGCCCAGGCUUUGGAGCAGUCUCCGUUGUGCCUUCAAUGUAGAGCCAUGGGGGCUUUGUCAUCAGGAGGCCAUUUACGGGCCGCCUGGGUGACCCAUGGGUUAAGCGUCGUCCAACUCUUGAUUUCAGCUCAGGUCAUGAUCUCACGGUUCACGAGACUGAGCCCUG